UCUGAAGACAGCUACAGUGUACUCAUAUAUAAUAAAUCUUUUAAAAAAAGAGUACCAUAAUGUAUGUAUGUACGUAUAUAUGUAUGUAUCUUUUCUCAUUUUUUUCCUCUGUGCAACCCUGGCUGUCUUGCAGUUCACUCUGUAGAUCAGGCUGGCGUCAAACUCAGAGAUGUUCCCGCCUCUGCCUCCAGAGUGAGUCCUGGGAUUAAAGGCACUUACUACCUUUACCACCACCCAGUUUACAAUAAUUUCUUAAUCAAAAUAAAAAAGGGCUUGGGAGGUGACUCAUGGCAGACACAUGCCUAACAUACUGGGGGCCCCAAGUUUAAGUCCCCAGCACUACAAAAGAUAGAAAUAAGAAGGUACAAAAAUUAAAUUUGAAAAUCUCUUAGCAUGUUGCCAGUACUAACCUUAAGAACAAUGAGGUCAUAAUGACUCAGAUGAAAGGUAUUUCAAACAUCUUGUAUUAUUCUCAUUCUGUAGAAAAUAGGAAUAAAGGAAAUUGGACUGUGGAAUGUAGCUAGUCAGGUUAGAGUGCUUGCCUAGAGUGCAGGAAGCCUGGGUGUGGGGGCUUAGCGUACACUAUGCUUGUUAGCACAUCCCUAUCAUCCCAGCACUCAAGGACAGUGGCAGGUCGAUCUCUGUGAGCUCAAGCCCAGCCUGCUCUAGAGUGAGUCUAAGAUAGCCAGGGCUACACAGAGAAACCCUGUCUUGAAAAAUCAAGCCAAAAGGAAUAGGAGGAGGAAGAGAGGAGAGAGAGAGAGAGAGAGAGAGAGAGAGAGAGAGAGAGAGAGAGAGAGAGAGAGAGAGUUCAUAUUUAGCUGUUUAGUGGUUUGGGGGUUGGGGGGCAUCCUAGACUCCAAAAGAUGCCAAUUCUAAAAACAAAAACAAGGAAAGCAAAAACUGCCCAAGGUACCACAGCAUGUUUCCGUUCGACCACUGUUUCUGAAGGCUUUGGUACAUCACAUGAAGCCCAUCUGAGAAAUCAGAAGAUUCUCGUUCUCUGGGUGUGUUCUUCCCCAGGAAAGUGCCAGCCAGAAGAACCAUCCACUUUGGCUCCAGGAAAAGGAGGGUAACAGCCCUGCAGAGCUGCCUUUCGGAGUUUCUAACAGCUUUGGAUAGCCGCAGAGUGUGCCAAGAACAUUAUCUAGAAAAAUUAUAGGGCUAACUGAUUCUCCCCUGUAAGUAUUCCUCUGCAGUGGAACACUCACUUAGCGUGUUAGAAGCUCCAAGUUCACCCCCUAAUGCUGAAAAAAAAAAAGGCAUAGUGGUCACCUCAGCAGCACAUAUGCUAAUAUUGGCACAAUAUGGAGAAAAUUAGCAUGGCCCCCGUGCAAGGAUGGCCCCAAAAACUCACGAGGCUUCCUUUUUCUUUUUUUAAGGGUAUAGCAGGAGCUGGAAGGCGGGGACUGCCAGCCAUUAGGUGAUCAUAUCAGGGAAAUUCAAACAUAGAGAAGAGUUUCAUUUCCCUCCGUGCUUUGGGAUUUCUCACUGAACCCAGAACUCAGAUUCUACCAAACAGCUGUCCAGUGAGCUCGUGGCAUUCACCUGCCUGUGUCCCCAGUUAAGACUACAGGAGUACCACCACAGCCACAUUUUAAUGUGGGUCCUCAUGCAUGCACAGAAAGACUAAGCUGGACCUGAUGACACAGUCCUAUAACCUGAGUACUUGAGAUUUGGAGGUGGGAGAAUUUUGAAUUCAAGACCACCCUGGGCUCCACAUCAAGACUGUGUGGUAGGUAUUUUUGUGUCACUGUGACAAAAAACUGAGAGAAGCAACCUAAGGGAGGAAGUGCUCACUUAGGCACCCAGUUUCACAGUGCUUCAGCACACGCAGAAGAUGGAGGCAGGAGAUGCUCGCAUCCUGGCUGGCCUGGUACUUGCUAUGGAGACCAGACUGAUCUUACAUACACUCCAUGGUAUGCCUUCCUGCUUCUGCCUCCGGCGCACUGAAAUUAAAGGUGUGUGCCACUGUGCCCAGCUGUA